rnacentral:rRNA from 1 species
GCUGGCGGCGUGCUUACACAUGCAAGUCGAACGAGAAUCACCGGAAGGAGUUUUCGGACAACGGAAGGUGAGGACAGUGGCGGACGGGUGAGUAACGCGUGAGGAACCUGCCUUUCAGAGGGGGACAACAGUUGGAAACGACUGCUAAUACCGCAUAACGCAUAGGUAUCGCAUGGUACUUAUGCCAAAGAUUUAUCGCUGAAAGAUGGCCUCGCGUCUGAUUAGCUGGUUGGUGAGGUAACGGCCCACCAAGGCGACGAUCAGUAGCCGGACUGAGAGGUUGACCGGCCACAUUGGGACUGAGAUACGGCCCAGACUCCUACGGGAGGCAGCAGUGGGGAAUAUUGGGCAAUGGGCGCAAGCCUGACCCAGCAACGCCGCGUGAAGGAAGAAGGCUUUCGGGUUGUAAACUUCUUUUGGCAGGGAAGAGGAGAAGACGGUACCUGCCGAAUAAGCCACGGCUAACUACGUGCCAGCAGCCGCGGUAAUACGUAGGUGGCAAGCGUUGUCCGGAUUUACUGGGUGUAAAGGGCGU